CGGCACGGGUGAGUAACACGUAUGCAACCUGCCUGCCACAGCCGGAUAAUCGGGAGAAAUUCCGUCUAAUACGGCAUAAUGCAUCGACGGGACAUCCUGUUGGUGCCAAAGGUUAAUUCCGGUGGCGGAUGGGCAUGCGUCGCAUUAGUUAGUUGGCGGUGUAACGGACCACUAAGACGACGAUGCGUAGGGGUUCUGAGAGGAAGGUCCCCCACACUGGUACUGAGACACGGACCAGACUCCUACGGAAGGCAGCAG
rnacentral:rRNA from 1 species